CCUACGGGGGGCAGCAGUGAGGAAUAUUGGUCAAUGGACGAGAGUCUGAACCAGCCAAGUAGCGUGAAGGAUGACUGCCCUAUGGGUUGUAAACUUCUUUUAUAUGGGAAUAAAAUGUUCCACGUGUGGGAUUUUGUAUGUACCAUAUGAAUAAGGAUCGGCUAACUCCGUGCCAGCAGCCGCGGUAAUACGGAGGAUGCGAGCGUUAUCCGGAUUUAUUGGGUUUAAAGGGAGCGUAGGUGGAUUGUUAAGUCAGUUGUGAAAGUUUGGGGCUCAACCGUAAAAUUGCAAAUGAUACUGGCAGACUAGAGUACAGUAGAGGUGGGCGGAAUUCGUGGUGUAGCAGUGAAAUGCGUAGAUAUCACGAAGAACUCCGAUUGCGAAGGCAGCUCACUGGACUGCAACUGACACUGAGGCUCGAAAGUGUGGGUAGCAAACAGGAUUAGAUACCCCAGUAGUC
rnacentral:rRNA from 1 species